rnacentral:rRNA from 1 species
UACCCGCAAAAAGCCCCGGCUAACUUCGUGCCAGCCCGCGGUAAGAAGGGGGCUAGCGUUGCUCGGAAUCACUGGGCGUAAAGCGCACGUAGGCGGCUUUUUAAGUCAGGGGUGAAAUCCUGGAGCUCAACUCCAGAACUGCCUUUGAUACUGAGAAGCUUGAGUCCGGGAGAGAGUGGAACUGCGAGUUAGAGGUGAAAUUCGUAGAUAUUCGCAAGAACACC